GAUGAACGCUGGCGGCGUGCCUAAUACAUGCAAGUCGAGCGAACGGACGAGAAGCUUGCUUCUCUGAUGUUAGCGGCGGACGGGUGAGUAACACGUGGAUAACCUACCUAUAAGACUGGGAUAACUUCGGGAAACCGGAGCUAAUACCGGAUAAUAUUUUGAACCGCAUGGUUCAAAAGUGAAAGACGGUCUUGCUGUCACUUAUAGAUGGAUCCGCGCUGCAUUAGCUAGUUGGUAAGGUAACGGCUUACCAAGGCAACGAUGCAUAGCCGACCUGAGAGGGUGAUCGGCCACACUGGAACUGAGACACGGUCCAGACUCCUACGGGAGGCAGCAGUAGGGAAUCUUCCGCAAUGGGCGAAAGCCUGACGGAGCAACGCCGCGUGAGUGAUGAAGGUCUUCGGAUCGUAAAACUCUGUUAUUAGGGAAGAACAUAUGUGUAAGUAACUGUGCACAUCUUGACGGUACCUAAUCAGAAAGCCACGGCUAACUACGUGCCAGCAGCCGCGGUAAUACGUAGGUGGCAAGCGUUAUCCGGAAUUAUUGGGCGUAAAGCGCGCGUAGGCGGUUUUUUAAGUCUGAUGUGAAAGCCCACGGCUCAACCGUGGAGGGUCAUUGGAAACUGGAAAACUUGAGUGCAGAAGAGGAAAGUGGAAUUCCAUGUGUAGCGGUGAAAUGCGCAGAGAUAUGGAGGAACACCAGUGGCGAAGGCGACUUUCUGGUCUGUAACUGACGCUGAUGUGCGAAAGCGUGGGGAUCAAACAGGAUUAGAUACCCUGGUAGUCCACGCCGUAAACGAUGAGUGCUAAGUGUUAGGGGGUUUCCGCCCCUUAGUGCUGCAGCUAACGCAUUAAGCACUCCGCCUGGGGAGUACGACCGCAAGGUUGAAACUCAAAGGAAUUGACGGGGACCCGCACAAGCGGUGGAGCAUGUGGUUUAAUUCGAAGCAACGCGAAGGACCUUACCAAAUCUUGACAUCCUUUGACAACUCUAGAGAUAGAGCCUUCCCCUUCGGGGGACAAAGUGACAGGUGGUGCAUGGUUGUCGUCAGCUCGUGUCGUGAGAUGUUGGGUUAAGUCCCGCAACGAGCGCAACCCUUAAGCUUAGUUGCCAUCAUUAAGUUGGGCACUCUAAGUUGACUGCCGGUGACGAACCGGAGGAAGGUGGGGAUGACGUCAAAUCAUCAUGCCCCUUAUGAUUUGGGCUACACACGUGCUACAAUGGACAAUACAAAGGGCAGCGAAACCGCGAGGUCAAGCAAAUCCCAUAAAGUUGUUCUCAGUUCGGAUUGUAGUCUGCAACUCGACUACAUGAAGCUGGAAUCGCUAGUAAUCGUAGAUCAGCAUGCUACGGUGAAUACGUUCCCGGGUCU
rnacentral:rRNA from 1 species